AGUGAACGCUGGCGGCAGGCCUAACACAUGCAAGUCGAACGGUAGCACAGAGGAGCUUGCUCCUUGGGUGACGAGUGGCGGACGGGUGAGGAAUAUAUCGGAAUCUACCCAAUCGUGGGGGAUAACGUAGGGAAACUUACGCUAAUACCGCAUACGAUCUGAGGAUGAAAGCGGCGGACCGCAAGGCGUCGCGCGAUUGGAUGAGCCGAUAUCCGAUUAGCUAGUUGGUGAGGUAAUGGCCCACCAAGGCAACGAUCGGUAGCUGGUCUGAGAGGAUGAUCAGCCACACUGGAACUGAGACACGGUCCAGACUCCUACGGGAGGCAGCAGUGGGGAAUAUUGGACAAUGGGCGCAAGCCUGAUCCAGCCAUGCCGCGUGUGUGAAGAAGGCCUUCGGGUUGUAAAGCACUUUUGUUGGGGAAGAAAAGCCGUCGGUUAAUACCCGGUGGUGAUGAC
rnacentral:rRNA from 1 species